CUAAAACAAGCAUAUGGAGCACACCUGUGAGACCAUAUAAAAGAAUGAAAAGUCAGUAGAGCAAGAACUAGCUUGAGAUUUAAGUAGAAGUAAAUGUGUACUACUGUUUGAAAAGGGGCAGUUACUGACAACCUUGAAUACUCUCGUACUGAUAUUAAAGGCAGUGAACUCCUGUACUAAAGUUCUGGAAAGACCAACAGUUACUCAUUCCCUUUCAUAAGCUCACCAGUACAGUCACUGACAUAAAAAGUAAAGAUUGUUAGCAAUGCCUAACCACUUAAUUGCCUAAGUAACCGUCGUCUCUUUACAGGCCUCAUUGUCUUGAGCACGGAGGAAGUGGCAAACCAGUAGGAUCGUAAUCUAUUAUCUGUUACCACUGAGAGCACUGAUGUAUUGUGACACCAACAGAGAGAAAGCCAGAGAGGCAGACACAGGGGAACUCAGCUGAUAAAGGCUGUGCUAGACACUACCAUCAUCUUCCUUCCAAAUGGCUCACUUAUAACCAUGGGUACCUGUCAGGGCUGGGAGGUGAGAAGGGGGAUGGAAAGAGGAAAAGAAAAAGACUUGGUAGAAGAGCUUAAGGAAGGUGGGCUACUGGAGUCUUAGACCAUUCGAUUGUUCUAAGUAGUCUCCUUGUCCUGGUCCGUGUGACUGAAUCAAUUAAACACACACACACACAACACACAUGCACACGCACACGCACACACACUCAUACACAUACUCAUGAGUUACUUAUCCCAAAGAUUAUCAACUGAAGUUCCUCUGGGAGGUGGCAGAACACAUGACCAGCCCACAUGCUAGACCCCUUGUGGUGCC
rnacentral:lncRNA from 1 species